rnacentral:tRNA from 1 species
CGGAAUAGCUCAGUUGGUAGAGCAGUAGCUUCGUAAGUUAUUGGUCGGUGGUUCGAGUCCACUUUCCGG